CUUUCUUUUGCUGGCGACCGGCGCACGGGUGAGUAACACGUAUCCAACCUGCCCUUUACUCGGGGAUAGCCUUUCGAAAGAAAGAUUAAUACCCGAUAGUAUAAUGAUUCCGCAUGGUUUCAUUAUUAAAGGAUUCCGGUAAAGGAUGGGGAUGCGUUCCAUUAGGUUGUUGGUGAGGUAACGGCUCACCAAGCCUUCGAUGGAUAGGGGUUCUGAGAGGAAGGUCCCCCACAUUGGAACUGAGACACGGUCCAA
rnacentral:rRNA from 1 species